UACAGAGGUCUCAAGCGUUGUUCGGAUUCAUUGGGCGUAAAGGGUGCGUAGGUGGUGCCGUAAGUCGGAUGUGAAAUCUCGGGGCUCAACCCCGAAACUGCAUUCGAUACUGCGGUGCUCGAGGACUGGAGAGGAGACUGGAAUUCACGGUGUAGCAGUGAAAUGCGUAGAUAUCGUGAGGAAGACCAGUGGCGAAGGCGGGUCUCUGGACCGUAACUGACGCUGAGGAGCGAAAGCGUGGGGAGCGAACAGG
rnacentral:rRNA from 1 species